GAUGAAGAACGUAGCGAAAUGCGAUAAGUAGUGUGAAUUGCAGAAUUCAGUGAAUCAUCGAAUCUUUGAACGCACAUUGCGCCCUAUGGUAUUCCGUAGGGCAUGCCUGUUCGAGCGUCAUUCAAACCUUCAAGCUCUGCUUGGUGUUGGGCGUCUGUCCUGGCUCACGGCGCGGACUCGCCUCAAAUCUAUUGGCGGCCGGCACGUUGGCUUCGAGCGCAGCAGAAACGCGAACUCGAGACCGGCGGAUCGGCUCCCAGAAGCUACCCCCAUGAAUUUGACCUCGGAUCAGGUAGGGAUACCCGCUGAACUUAAGCAUAUCAAUAAGCGGAGGA
rnacentral:misc_RNA from 1 species